GAGACUCUGUGCGCGUGCAUAUCAAUAAGCGGAGGAAAAGAAACUAACAAGGAUUCUCCUAGUAACGGCGAGUGAAGCGGGAAGAGCUCAAAUUUGAAAUCUUAAAGGGUUUCCCUUGACGAAUUGUAGUUUAAAGAAGUGUUUUCUGUUGGAGUUUCGGUAAAAGUUCUUUGGAAUAGGACAUCAUAGAGGGUGAGAAUCCCGUAUUUGACCAUUACUUUCCAGCUGUGUGAUACACUUUCAAAGAGUCGGAUUGUUUGGGAAUGCAUGUCCAAAAUGGGUGGUAAAUUUCAUCUAAAGCUAAAUAUUGGCGAGAGACCGAUAGCGAACAAGUACCGUGAGGGAAAGAUGAAAAGAACUUUGAAAAGAGAGUUAAACAGUACGUGAAAUUGUCAAAAGGGAAGCGUUUGACACCAGUGUUGUUUAGUUGAAAAUCAAUUCAAUAAUUUUUGAUUCUAAGUAGUAUUGACUUCAUCAGCUUGCUGCUUUCUUCUCAGGAAUUAUUGAAUGCACUUUUCAGUUAACAAGUCAACAUCAAUUUCUUUUGUUGUAAAAGGGUAAGAGGAAGGUGGCUUACGCUUCGGCGUAAGUGUUUAUAGCCUUUUACCUCUGCAAUCGGAGAGAUUGAGGACAGCAGCGUAGACUCCUUCGGGGGUUAGAUACACUUGUGCUAAGCUAUAGCCUUGUAUAGACAACUUGUUGACUAUGCUCAGUCAUGUAGCUUACUCGCUUGUGCUAUUUUACCUACGCUUAGGAUGUUGACAGCAGUAUAGACUGU
rnacentral:rRNA from 1 species